AGCUUUGUGCAGUGGCAGUAUCGUAGCCAAUGAGGUUUAUCUGAGGCGCAAUUAUUCCUAAUUAAAGUUUCUUACAGUGCCUCCUUGCUACUGUUUGCUUUCUAGACUUUGAGGACCCAGGGUCUCUUC
rnacentral:snRNA from 1 species